UAGCAUAUCAAUAAGCGGAGGAAAAGAAACCAACAGGGAUUGCCUCAGUAACGGCGAGUGAAGCGGCAACAGCUCAAAUUUGAAAGCUGCCAUCCGGCCGCGUUGUAAUUUGUAGAAGCUGCUUUGGGUGUUGGCCCGGUCUAAGUUCCUUGGAACAGGACGUCAUAGAGGGUGAGAAUCCCGUAUGUGAUCGGUGCCGUUGCCCGUGUAAAGCGCUUUCGACGAGUCGAGUUGUUUGGGAAUGCAGCUCAAAAUGGGUGGUAAAUUUCAUCUAAAGCUAAAUAUUGGCCAGAGACCGAUAGCGCACAAGUAGAGUGAUCGAAAGAUGAAAAGCACUUUGGAAAGAGAGUUAAACAGUACGUGAAAUUGUUGAAAGGGAAGCGCUUGCAACCAGACUUGCGGGCGGUCGAUCAUCCGAGGUUUUCCCCGGUGCACUCGAUCGUUCUCAGGCCAGCAUCGGUUUCCGGGGUGGGAUAAAGGCGGUGGGAAUGUGGCUCUUCGGAGUGUUAUAGCCCACCGUGCCAUGCCGCCUCCGGGGACCGAGGACCGCGCUUCGGCUAGGAUGCUGGCGUAAUGGUUGUAAGCGACCCGUCUUGAAACACGGACCAAGGAGUCUAACAUCUAUGCGAGUGUUUGGGUGUCAAACCCAUCCGCGUAAUGAAAGUGAACGGAGGUAAGAGCCCGUUAGGGUGCAUUAUCGACCGAUCCUGAUGUCUUCGGAUGGAUUUGAGUAAGAGCAUAGCUGUUGGGACCCGAAAGAUGGUGAACUAUGCGUGAAUAGGGUGAAGCCAGAGGAAACUCUGGUGGAGGCUCGCAGCGGUUCUGACGUGCAAAUCGAUCGUCAAAUUUGCGUAUAGGGGCGAAAGACUAAUCGAACCAUCUAGUAGCUGGUUCCUGCCGA
rnacentral:rRNA from 1 species